ACAAUGCAUUGGCCACGCUGCAGGCACGAAGAGCUUUGAGCGAAUACGUGAAGAAGAGGUAAUUUUUUAUUAAUCACCUAAUAAUUUGAUGUCAAUCUAUUUCUCAUAUAUAACUUAUUUAAAUAAUGAUAGAGAAAUAAGAGGGCCAAUGGGGAGGAUUUGACCCGAGUAGAUAUGUUCUUGUUGACAUAUAGACGCAAGAACGGGAUGCUUGUGGAUGAGGCCUCAGCAAAAGCAAUGGAACAAUUAAAUGAACGAACUUCGCAGCAGCCAGAGGCUUCACAUAACAGCACUGCGAGGAAAGAUAUAUUCUCGGAAGUCAUGAGUGACAAACGAUAUGGCCAUGUCCGCACUUACGGGUGUUUCAACUAAUCCCAACUUGAACCAACCCUCCUCAUCAUCAAGCCACUUGGUUCCAACCCCU